AGGACGAACGCUGGCGGCGUGCUUAACACAUGCAAGUCGAGCGGUAAGGCCCUUCGGGGUACACGAGCGGCGAACGGGUGAGUAACACGUGGGUAACCUGCCCUGUACUGUGGGAUAAGCCUGGGAAACUGGGUCUAAUACCGCAUAUGACUGCAUUCCGCAUGGGGUGUGGUGGAAAGUUCUGGCGGUACAGGAUGGGCCCGCGGCCUAUCAGCUUGUUGGUGGGGUGAUGGCCUACCAAGGCGACGACGGGUAGCCGGCCUGAGAGGGCGACCGGCCACACUGGGACUGAGACACGGCCCAGACUCCUACGGGAGGCAGCAGUGGGGAAUCUUGCGCAAUGGGCGAAAGCCUGACGCAGCGACGCCGCGUGAGGGAUGACGGCCUUCGGGUUGUAAACCGUCUUUCGACCGGGACGAAGCGUGAGUGACGGUACCGGUAGAAGAAGCACCGGCUAACUACGUGCCAGCAGCCGC
rnacentral:rRNA from 1 species